rnacentral:rRNA from 1 species
AACCAACAGGGAUUGCCUCAGUAACGGCGAGUGAAGCGGCAAUAGCUCAAAUUUGAAAUCUGCUCUUUGAGCCGAAUUGUAAUUUGUAGAGGAUGCUUCGGCUUACGUUUCGGUCUAAGUUCCUUGGAACAGGACGUCAUAGAGGGUGAGAAUCCCGUCUGUGGCCGAGACUUCCGCCAUGUGAAGCUCCUUCGACGAGUCGAGUUGUUUGGGAAUGCAGCUCUAAAUGGGAGGUAUAUUUCUUCUAAAGCUAAAUACCGGCCAGAGACCGAUAGCGCACAAGUAGAGUGAUCGAAAGAUGAAAAGCACUUUGGAAAGAGAGUUAAAAAGUACGUGAAAUUGUUGAAAGGGAAGCGUUUGCGACCAGACUUGCCCGCGGAUGCUCAACCGGUCCUUCGGCCGGUGCACUCUUCCGCGGUCAGGCCAGCAUCAGUUCGAGUAGCCAGAUAAAGGCAUUGGGAAUGUGGCUCUCUUCGGGGAGUGUUAUAGCCCUUUGUGUAAUAUGGUUCAUUUGGACUGAGGCCCGCGCUUCGGCUAGGAUGCUGGCGUAAUGGUCGUAAGCGGCCCGUCUUGAAACACGGACCAAGGAGUCUAACAUCUAUGCGAGUGUUUGGGUGUCAAACCCGUGCGCGAAAUGAAAGUGAACGGAGGUGGGAACCUUUGGGUGCACCAUCGACCGAUCCUGAUGUCUUCGGAUGGAUUUGAGUAAGAGCAUAGCUGUUGGGACCCGAAAGAUGGUGAACUAUGCCUGAAUAGGGUGAAGCCAGAGGAAACUCUGGUGGAGGCUCGCAGCGGUUCUGACGUGCAAAUCGAUCGUCAAAUUUGGGUAUAGGG